GACGAACGCUGGCGGCGUGCUUAACACAUGCAAGUCGAACGGAAAGGCCCUGCUUUUGUGGGGUGCUCGAGUGGCGAACGGGUGAGUAACACGUGAGUAACCUGCCCUUGACUUUGGGAUAACUUCAGGAAACUGGGGCUAAUACCGGAUAGGAGCUCCUGCUGCAUGGUGGGGGUUGGAAAGUUUCGGUGGUUGGGGAUGGACUCGCGGCUUAUCAGCUUGUUGGUGGGGUAGUGGCUUACCAAGGCUUUGACGGGUAGCCGGCCUGAGAGGGUGACCGGCCACAUUGGGACUGAGAUACGGCCCAGACUCCUACGGGAGGCAGCGGUGGGGAAUAUUGCACAAUGGGCGGAAGCCUGAUGCAGCAACGCCGCGUGCGGGAUGACGGCCUUCGGGUUGUAAACCGCUUUCGCCUGUGACGAAGCGUGAGUGACGGUAAUGAGUAAAGAAGCACCGGCUAACUACGUG
rnacentral:rRNA from 1 species